AUUACAUCAGAUGAUGCAAAAACUGUUUUUGUGGCAGUGGCUAUAUCACUUGCAUUUAGGUCAUUUGUAGCUGAGCCAAGGUUUAUACCUUCAUUGUCCAUGUAUCCUACAUUUGAUGUUGGAGAUAGAAUUGUAGCUGAAAAGGUCAGUUACUAUUUUAGAAAGCCAUGUCCCAAUGACAUAGUAAUAUUCAAAAGUCCUCCAGUGCUUCAGGAGGUAGGAUACACAGAUGACGAUGUCUUUAUCAAGAG
rnacentral:misc_RNA from 1 species